rnacentral:rRNA from 1 species
ACAAUGACUCUCGGCAACGGAUAUCUAGGCUCUUGCAUCGAUGAAGAACGUAGCGAAAUGCGAUACUUGGUGUGAAUUGCAGAAUCCCGUGAACCAUCGAGUCUUUGAACGCAAGUUGCGCCCGAAGCCAUCAGGUUGAGGGCACGUCUGCCUGGGCGUCACAU